rnacentral:rRNA from 1 species
GGUGAACCUGCGGAUAUGCAUAUCAAUAAGCGGAGGAAGAUUCCGUAGGGGCGCCUGCGGAUCUGCAUGUCAAUAAGCGGAAAAAUUCUCCGACGGAGCUCUUGGCUCUGGCAUCGAUGAAGAACGCAGCGAAAUGCGAUAAGUAAUGUGAAUUGCAGAAUUCAGUGAAUCAUCGAAUCUUUGAACGCACAUUGCGCCCGCCAGUAUUCUGGCGGGCAUGCCUGUUCGAGCGUCAUUACAACCCUCAGGCCCCCGGGCCUGGCGUUGGGGAUCGGCGGAGGCCCUCCGUGGGCACACGCCGUCCCCCAAAUACAGUGGCGGUCCCGCCGCAGCUUCCAUCGCGUAGUAGCUAACACCUCGCGACUGGAGAGCGGCGCGGCCACGCCGUAAAACCCCCAACUCUUCUGAAGUUGACCUCGAAUCAGGUAGGAAUACCCGCUGAACUUAAGC